rnacentral:rRNA from 1 species
CUGAUUUGAAGAGCUUGCUCAGAUAUGACGAUGGACAUUGCAAAGAGUGGCGAACGGGUGAGUAACACGUGGGAAACCUACCUCUUAGCAGGGGAUAACAUUUGGAAACAGAUGCUAAUACCGUAUAACAAUGACAACCGCAUGGUUGUUAUUUAAAAGAUGGUUCUGCUAUCACUAAGAGAUGGUCCCGCGGUGCAUUAGCUAGUUGGUAAGGUAAUGGCUUACCAAGGCGAUGAUGCAUAGCCGAGUUGAGAGACUGAUCGGCCACAAUGGGACUGAGACACGGCCCAUACUCCUACGGGAGGCAGCAGUAGGGAAUCUUCCACAAUGGGCGAAAGCCUGAUGGAGCAACGCCGCGUGUGUGAUGAAGGGUUUCGGCUCGUAAAACACUGUUGUAAGAGAAGAAUGACAUUGAGAGUAACUGUUCAAUGUGUGACGGUAUCUUACCAGAAAGGAACGGCUAAAUACGUGCCAGCAGCCGCGGUAAUACGUAUGUUCCAAGCGUUAUCCGGAUUUAUUGGGCGUAAAGCGAGCGCAGACGGUUAUUUAAGUCUGAAGUGAAAGCCCUCAGCUCAACUGAGGAAUUGCUUUGGAAACUGGAUGACUUGAGUGCAGUAGAGGAAAGUGGAACUCCAUGUGUAGCGGUGAAAUGCGUAGAUAUAUGGAAGAACACCAGUGGCGAAGGCGGCUUUCUGGACUGUAACUGACGUUGAGGCUCGAAAGUGUGGGUAGCAAACAGGAUUAGAUACCCUGGUAGUCCACACCGUAAACGAUGAGUGCUAGGUGUUUGAGGGUUUCCGCCCUUAAGUGCCGCAGCUAACGCAUUAAGCACUCCGCCUGGGGAGUACGACCGCAAGGUUGAAACUCAAAGGAAUUGACGGGGACCCGCACAAGCGGUGGAGCAUGUGGUUUAAUUCGAAGCAACGCGAAGAACCUUACCAGGUCUUGACAUCCCUUGACAACUCCAGAGAUGGAGCGUUCCCUUCGGGGACAAGGUGACAGGUGGUGCAUGGUUGUCGUCAGCUCGUGUCGUGAGAUGUUGGGUUAAGUCCCGCAACGAGCGCAACCCUUAUUACUAGUUGCCAGCAUUCAGUUGGGCACUCUAGUGAGACUGCCGGUGACAAACCGGAGGAAGGUGGGGAUGACGUCAAAUCAUCAUGCCCCUUAUGACCUGGGCUACACACGUGCUACAAUGGCGUAUACAACGAGUUGCCAACCCGCGAGGGUGAGCUAAUCUCUUAAAGUACGUCUCAGUUCGGAUUGUAGGCUGCAACUCGCCUACAGAAGUCGGAAUCGCUAGUAAUCGCGGAUCAGCACGCCGCGGUGAAUACGUUCCCGGGUCUUGUACACACCGCCCGUCACACCAUGAGAGUUUGUAACACCCAAAGCCGGUGGGGUAAC